UCCAAGCACUUGCAGACAAAAUGAGCUUCAGAGAAGAGAAAAGCAACCUUUAGCUUUUUUAAGACCACCCGACUCAGAAAAGGAGAUUUCAAACAUACUCUCCUCUUUUAGGGUUCUAAUACUUUUAUCUCUCCUCUCUUUAAUGAUUUCCAGCGAAAUUUACGUCCUUCUCACUUAAUCUACCCACCACCAUGAUGCCAUCUCUCGUGCUCAUGCAUGUGUGAUCUGGCUGUUGAUGUGUAUGGAUGUCAUCAUAGAUGUCUAUAUUUAGUGAGGUGGUGAGAGAAUGAGACGCAAAAGCAGACCCACAAGCAAUCCUUGUUUCACUCUCAAAAGACUAACCAAAUUACCCAAAAAUAUUUAUUUAUGCCCUAACUUUAGCAUUUUGCCUUCGUCCCUUCUUUCUUGCCCUUUCCUUAGGGUUUCUUGUGGGUCUUUAUUUUUUCAUUUUCAUGUGUAAUUUUUAUCUUUUUGACCCAAACAUCUCUCCUUUGAUAUGCUUGCCUCUUGUCUGCAUAAUACAUAUAUACAUCUGAAUCUCUCCCAUCCCACCCUUAAUUUUUUAUAUAAACCAUUUCUCCUCCUCUCUCAAUCACCUUCAAUAUCUCCCUUUCUCCUCUCUCUCUGGAUCAUCAUCUCGACCUUCUUAUUUUGUUUAUUGAUUCUCAUCUUCCCUUUUGUAUUUUCAAGAAAUCGGCAUUUAGGGUUUCAAGAACAGUUAACCUCAAUUCCUCCUGAGGAGAGAGAGAAAACAAAAGAUAUCAUCAAUUUCAUUUUCUUACAUGCAAAUCAUAAUCCAUGCUUUAGAUUGUUUCUAUAGUCAUACAUAUGUGCUGUUAUAUCUGUUCAUGCAUGUCCAGGUGGAGAUCUAGCUAGAUAUAGCUUUACUUAAAAACAGAAUUAGACAUCCAUUUAGGGCAAUUAGUUUCAAUACAUAAUAACAUGUAUAUGCAUCAUGACAUAUAUGCAUAUAUGUUGAUGUAUUAUAUAUGUAUAUGCCUGGCUCCCUGUAUGCCAUACACUAAGUUCAUCGACCAUCGGCGACCUCGGUGGAUAGCGUAUGAGGAGCCAAGCAUAUUCUCAGCAUAGACAUAUUUUCUAAUUAUGUUAUAGUACUAAUUAAAUUGUAUUGAACUUGUUUUUUAGGAAUCUAUUUUAAUUGCUCCAUCCAAUCAUGUGAAGAAGAUUAGAAGGUACCUCAGUGAACCGUCUAGCUACCACCGAUGCUUCUUGUGGUCUCCAAAAUUCCACUGACGGAUAUUUUGGUGAAAUCUUACGAUUAGUAUUUUUCCACUACAAAUGUUUGUCAUGUCACAACACUUCUUACGAGGAUUUAUUCUGUGAUAACAUCAAUGUACAACUCCUUUGUUUAUAAAAAUCGUUAAUUAUAUUAAUAGCUAAUAUAUUCCCGUACGGUUCAUAUUCUUGUAUCGUUUCAAUCAUCUAAACUAUUAAGACUAAAGUACAAAUAAAUUUAAGCCCUAAUAGUUGCACAUAAAUUACAAUGAUAUGCCACUGAGUUACUAAACUGUCGUUUUAGACUUUUCCUAAACCAACUAAAAUAAAUUGACAUUACUUCAUCAUAAAUUACGUGUAUCUUAAACCUAAAAUCAAAUCUCAGAACACAAGUCGCCUCUUUCUCUCUGAUCACAUCUCUAUCUUUAAAAGAGAGAUCGAGAGAGCGAUUUUUGGCACAUCGGAAUUUCUUCCGACCAUAGCCGGACUGUUUUGUUUUAUAUUUCGAUCCAUGAUCGAUUUUAUGUUGUGAUUUUCAAUUUUCCAUCAGUUCCUUCAAGUUUAUAUUUCUUUCAUCGGUUGAAGUUGAUUAAAUAAAGUUUCAGUCUUUUGGAAUGGGUUUUGUUUGGAGUGAUAUCAGCAACAUCCCUUUGCUGUCAGUACUGAGUGUGGUGGUCUUAAUAUCCUCGCGGUGGUUUUUUCUGAUGAGGGUUGCGCUUUCCAAGCAGUUGAGCAUAACCGAUGAAGAGGAUGAUUUAAGCGACGAAGGUGAAACGGCCGGAGUUUUAGGUCAAGAUUCAGAUGCAUGAGAUUUGAACGGUGGUGAUCGUCGGAGUCGAAGACUGUUCGAAGCUGUGGGUAACAUGUUCAACUUGCUUCCUCACAUUGUGUUUUCGUUUUGGAUCUUGGUCUAAUUGUGGUAUAAUUGACCCAACACAUUAAUAAAACUUCUAUUGCCGGUAAAAAAACAGAAAGAAAAACCCAAAAUCA